AAGUAACUAGAGACCAUACCUAAGAUGAUUUUUUCCAUAGUUGGGUAAAUGAAUGUUCUUUUCGUAUAGCUCAUUCAGGUAGAGCUGCUUUAAUAUAGGUUUUCUUUUUCAACCACUCAUCCAUACCCUGUAUUGUAAAAUUUCUUUAAAAUUCCUUUUUAGUGCUUUCCCUCUCUCUCUUAAGACAAACAACCAAGAAUUUGCUAUGGCUCAAGUGGUGAGACUUAAAGAUUAAAGCCAUCCUUGGGGUUAGAAUGUGCAUGUACUCUAAUAUACAAAAGAAAAGAAUUAUGAAAUAAGUCACUGUUCUGAUUGUGAAGAAUACAUUAAAAUAAACAAAGAGGAAGAAAAUAAUAGUACCGGGAGAUAUUAUGCUGGCUGCUGGGCUGACCUUCUACUAUACAAUGUCAACAGGUUUGACAACCAUACAAUGUCAACUAUCUAGGCUGUCAACAGAUUUUCUCAGAAGACAGAGAUUUGUCUUUUGGAGUAAGGCAAAGACCAAAACAAGAAACUGAAAAGCUGAGGUACACAGGUCUCCUCUGAGUAUUUAAAGCGGACAGUGAUUCGCAUCUUACAAGGCCAGGAAUCUUUGAAAGUAACUUCAGAAAAAUCUGAAAGCUACCUGAAGCUCCAGCGACAAAUAUAGAACUGCACUGCCCUCCAGAGGUGACUCUUUGGCAAAUACUUGUCAUCAGCUAAGGAAAAGACCAAGGAAUUAUGCUAAUGUUGCACUGGUGUACUCCAGUCUCUCUAGAAAACUUUUAUGAAGAGUGUGUAAGAACUUAAAACAUCUAAUAUUAGAUGUUUGCUGCCGUGUUUAGAACAUAAAUAUUAUUCUACAUGAGACUUUAAGAGAAACAAGACAGAACAAUUAACUAGUCUUUGGAAAAGAUUCAACUCUAAUGCAUGCCGGGGGCCAGCAGGGGGAGUAAAACCCCCAAAAUAUGAAUAACAGAGAAGAAAAAUGCUAAAUGGAGUUACAGGUGGGACAACCUGGAAAGAAUCAGUCACCCAAUCAAAAGAGGAGGAUGGAAAGAUUCUAUAAGGCCUUAACCUAGAGAUAAAAUGAUUUUGAACUAUAUCUCAUCCACCUGGUGAAAAGUUCACCUCUUUCUACAUAUAUUCCAGACGGCCAAAUAAACUAAAGGAAUUUCCUCAUCAGUCCACAGACCUCAAAACCUUGUCUUUUUUUUCAUCUCCUGUUAAUUAAUAAAGAUCACAAACUGCCCUACUGCUAGCAGAUAGC